rnacentral:rRNA from 1 species
GACGAACGCUGGCGGCGUGCUUAACACAUGCAAGUCGAACGGUGAAGCUCCAGCUUGCUGGAGUGGAUCAGUGGCGAACGGGUGAGUAACACGUGAGCAACCUGCCCCUGACUCUGGAAUAAGCGCUGGAAACGGCGUCUAAUACUGGAUACGAGAAGGGUCCGCAUGGGCACUUUCUGGAAAGUUUUUCGGUUGGGGAUGGGCUCGCGGCCUAUCAGCUUGUUGGUGAGGUAAUGGCUCACCAAGGCGACGACGGGUAGCCGGCCUGAGAGGGCGACCGGCCACACUGGGACUGAGCCACGGCCCAGCCUCCUCCGGGAGGCAGCAGUGGGGAAUAUUGCACAAUGGGCUCAAGCCUGAUGCAGCGACGCCGCGUGAGGGAUGACGGCCUUCGGGUUGUAAACCUCUUUCAGCAGUGAAGAAGCGACAGUGACGGUACCUGCAGAAGAAGCACCGGCUAACUACGUG